UACGUAGGGGGCGAGCGUUGUCCGGAAUUACUGGGCGUAAAGGGUGCGUAGGCGGCCUAUUAAGUUGUGUGUGAAAGACUGGGGCUUAACCCCAGGGUUGCAUGCAAAACUGGUAGGCUUGAGUGCAGGAGAGGAGAGUGGAAUUCCCGGUGUAGCGGUGGAAUGCGUAGAUAUCGGGAGGAACACCAGUGGCGAAGGCGACUCUCUGGACUGUAACUGACGCUGAGGCACGAAAGCUGGGGGAGCAAACAGG
rnacentral:rRNA from 1 species